rnacentral:rRNA from 1 species
GUCCAGACUCCUACGGGAGGCAGCAGUGAGGAAUAUUGGUCAAUGGCCGAGAGGCUGAACCAGCCAAGUCGCGUGAGGGAUGACGGCCCUACGGGUUGUAAACCUCUUUUGUCGGGGAGCAAAAGCCGGACGUGUCCGGCUGUGAGAGUACCCGAAGAAAAAGCAUCGGCUAACUCCGUGCCAGCAGCCGCGGUAAUACGGAGGAUGCGAGCGUUAUCCGGAUUUAUUGGGUUUAAAGGGUGCGCAGGCGGAUUUUUAAGUCAGCGGUCAAAUCGUGGGGCUCAACCCCAUCCAGCCGUUGAAACUGGCAGUCUCGAGUUGGAGAGAAGUAUGCGGAAUGCGCGGUGUAGCGGUGAAAUGCAUAGAUAUCGCGCAGAACUCCGAUUGCGAAGGCAGCAUGCCGGCUCCACACUGACGCUGAGGCACGAAAGCGUGGGUAUCGAACAGGAUUAGAUACCCGAGUA